GAACUUAAGCAUAUCAAUAAGCGGAGGAAAAGAAACUAACAAGGAUUCCCUCAGUAACUGCGAGUGAAGUGGGAAAAGCUCAAAUUUGAAAUCUGGCAGCUCUUUCAGGUUGUCCGAGUUGUAAUCUAGAGAAGCGUUACCUGUGUUGGACCGUGUAAAAGUCUUCUGGAAUGGAGCAUCAUAGAGGGUGAGAAUCCCGUCUUUGACAUGGACUACCAGCAUGCCAAGGUGCACUCUCAAAGAGUCGAGUUGUUUGGGAAUGCAGCUCAAAAUGGGUGGUAAAUGCCAUCUAAAGCUAAAUAUUGGCGAGAGACCGAUAGCGAACAAGUACCGUGAGGGAAAGAUGAAAAGAACUUUGGAAAGAGAGUUAAACAGUACGUGAAAUUGCUGAAAGGGAAACGCUUAAAGUCAGUCGCAUUAGCUGGAAAUCAGGCUUGCUUUUGCAAGGUGCACUUUCUAGUUGAUGGGUCAGCAUCAAUUUUAAUCGUUGGAUAAAGUCAUUGGGAAUGUGGCAUCUUUGGAUGUGUUAUAGCCCAGUGUUGAAUACAGCGGUCAGGAUUGAGGAAUUCAGCAUGCCUCUAGGGGCCAGGUUUCGACCAUGUUCAUGCUUAGGAUGCUGGCAUAAUGGCUUUAAUCGACCCGUCUUGAAACACGGACCAAGGAGUCUAACAUGCCUGCGAGUGUUUGGGUGAAAAACCCAUACGCACAAUGAAAGUGAAAGUUGAGAUCCUUAGGGAGCAUUGACGCCCGGACCAGACCUUCUGCGACGGAUCCGCGGUAGAGCAUGUAUGUUGGGACCCGAAA
rnacentral:rRNA from 1 species